CGGGCGUUAAGGGUGAGAAUCCCGUUACUGCCGGCUCUUCCUNNAACCCCUUCUAAUCAAGUUGUUUGGAUGCAUCACUGGGUGGAAUUUCUCUAUCUAAUACCGCCAGACCGAUGCCACAAUAGAGUGAUCGAAAGAUGAAACACUUUGAAGAGAGUUAAAAAGUACGUGAAUUGUUGAAAGGGAAGCGCUUGCCCAGACUUGCUCGCGUGAUCAGCCCCCCUUCGCGGGGUGCACUCGCCCGCGAUCAGGCCAGCAUCGGUUUCGACGGGCGGAUAAAGGCCCCGGGAAUGUAGCUCCCCUCGGGGAGGUUAUAGCCCGAGUACCAUGCGCCCUCAGGACCGAGGCCGCGUUCGUAGGAUGCGGCGUAAUGGUUGUAACGACCCGUCUUAAACACGACCAAGAGUUACAUCAUGGAGUGUUGGGUGGUAAACCCAUGCGCGGAAGAAAGUGAACGGAGGUGGGAGCCCCUUUCGGGGCGCACCAUCGACCGAUCCAGAUGUUUUCGGAAGGAUUUGAGUAGGAGCAUAGCUGUUGGGACCCGAAAGAUGGUGAACUAUGCCUGGAUAGGGUGAAGCCAGAGGAAACUCUGGUGGAGGCUCGCAGCAGUGUUCUGACGUGCAAAUCGAUCGUCAAAUCUGGG
rnacentral:rRNA from 1 species